rnacentral:lncRNA from 1 species
AAUGAACAGCUGUGUCAUGAGCGCAUGAUACCCCUGUCGCGUUUUCAGAGAAUAAAGUUCAAUAACUUCUCAAUGUCACAUCAGACAUUUAUGAAAAACUAAAGGGAGGUUAUCUUAAUAGAUAUAAACCAGUCAACAAAGUUUAAUGGAAACUGCUCAAAGCACAUAAAAUGUAUUGUCUGAAAGCUGGAAAACCAACCUAUUUGUUUCAAGAAUAAAAUCCCAUAACCCGGAAAUGUAAUAUCAAUUUUUUUUUAAUUAAAAGGGAGUUUACGUCAAUAAAUAUAAAAAAAUCACCAUAGUUUCAUAAGAACUUCUGAAAUCAUUUUUGAGUUAUUUCAGAAAAUAGGAAUAUCCCCCUUUUUAAUUAUUAAUUUAAUACCUCAUAAGUCAGAAACAUAAAAUCGGAAAUUUAUAAAAAUCAAAAGGGAGAACAAUGUUUGGUUUAAGUGUUGUUGAGUUAAUGUCCGACAUGUUGACGAAGGAAAAACAGACGGACAACUGUAAACCUAAAUAUGUCCUGUAAAUGAGCAAAAAAGGGGGGUUGUUAUCCCAAAUUUUCUUUUGUUUUAUGAACAAUUAAUUUAUUUAGAAC